AUGCUCAAGACAAUGUGCCUGGAGCUCCGUGAGGAGGUCAGCGCGGUGAAGCUGGAGCAGUCCCAGAUGGCAGAGAACAUGCAGUACCUGAUGCAGAACUUCAACAUGGAACAAUUCCAGAACAUGAUGGAUGAGUUCCGGAACCAGCUGUGGGAGUCUCUCAUGUCUGCCAUGAAGGAAAUGCUGGCCGGACCCAGCGCCCGAGAAAAGAAGGCUGGCCAGGCCCUGGAGUCGGAGGAAGACCUCGGAGGGCUGAUUGUCAUCGGCAAUGAAAUUCCCCUCGUGGAAAGGCCCAAGACAGCGAAGCGUGGGGAGAGCCGGCCUGACAGCCCCAAGGGAGAGGGCAAAGAGAAGGACGAGGCUGCCAGCAGUGACGUUGGGGACAGUGACACAGCACAGAGUGACACGGCACAGAGCAGGGCACCGGCUGCCACGGCACAGAAGGGCGUGGGACAGAAGGACAUGAGGCAGCGGGGUGACACAGGACGGACUGACACGGAACAGAAGGACGUGGGACAGAAGGACGUGAGGCGAGGUGUGCAACGGAGCGAUGCAGGACAGAGUGACGUGGGACAGAAGGGCGUGGGGAAGAGUGUGAAAUGGGGUGACAGAGGAGGGACUGACAUGGGACAGGCUGACAUGGGACAGGAGGACAUGGAACAGAUCAGGAAGGAAGAGAUGGAGAUGGACAUUGCUGAGGUAGAGGCUCUUCCCAGCUCCCUGGACAGUCGCCCUGAGAUGACCAGCAUGGGAGAGAUCAGGGAAGAAGAGACCAAGAUGGGCAUCUCCAAGGCUCCUCCCCAUGCUCAGAUGAAGAUUUCAGAUGGCACCACCUCAGAAAUGCAUCCAGGAGCCCCUAGCAGCAGUGCCCCAGUCCAGAGGGUGCAGUCAGUCCGAGGCGUCCCAGGAUCCCAGGACCUCUGGGUACCAUCUGAGAGCGUGGCUGGGCCCAGCAGCAGGCUCCCAACACCCAAGGAACCUCGAGAAGGCGGCCUCAGGAUGGAGGCGUACCCAGCUGAACCUGGCAUGAUGUUCCUGAGGGUGCCCUCUGCCGAGUACGCACCUUGCGACCCGCUGGUGAAGAUGUCUGCACAACGCCCUGGGGUCGUCCCGUCCACGCCGCCGGCAGCCCCCGGGCUCUCCAUGCGCAUGCCCCGCCUGCGCAGGCCGGACCAGAGGGACGAGGCAGCCGACGGCUACACCCGCCGGUCCCCGAUGUACUCCGGCGGCAAACACACCAGCGUCAGCCCCGUGCAGCGCAUGGAGCCCCUGCUCCCGGACCCCAACCUGCCCGGCACGUACGAACUGAUGGGCAAGGACGGAGUCGUGUACCGGGGCCGGAUGGUUCCGGAAUGAGCGAGCAACGCCGGCCUGCAGAAAUAAAGGGUAACCAACCAACA
rnacentral:lncRNA from 1 species